rnacentral:rRNA from 1 species
GGGCCCGCACAAGCAGUGGAGUAUGUGGUUUAAUUCGAAGCAACGCGAAGAACCUUACCAGGUCUUGACAUCCCAGAGAUCCUGUAGAGAUACGGGAGUGCCCUUCGGGGAAUCUGGAGACAGGUGGUGCAUGGUUGUCGUCAGCUCGUGUCGUGAGAUGUUGGGUUAAGUCCCGCAACGAGCGCAACCCUUACCGAUAGUUGCUACGCAAGAGCACUCUAUCGGGACUGCCGUUGACAAAACGGAGGAAGGUGGGGAUGACGUCAAAUCAUCAUGCCCCUUAUGACCUGGGCCACACACGUACUACAAUGGCCGCAAACAGAGGGAAGCAAGACAGUGAUGUGGAGCAAACCCCUAAAAGCGGUCCCAGUUCGGACUGCAGGCUGAAACUCGCCUGCACGAAGCCGGAAUUGCUAGUAAUCGCGGAUCAGCAUGCCGCGGUGAAUACGUUCCCGGGCCUU